UUUGGAGAAGAGGCUUUCUUCUUCAAUGAGGUCACAGGGGUAGGGCCUGUAUGAUGGGAUUAGUGUCCGUGUAAAGAGAGGUAGAGACACCAGAGCCCAGAACUCUCUCUCUCUCUCUCUGCCUUGUGAGGACACAGCAAGGAGGCAGCUGUCUGCAAGCCAGGAGAAGAGGCUUCAUGAGAACCCACCCAUAGUGACACCCUGAUCUUAGACUUUCAACCUCCACAACUGUGGGAAAAUAAAUGUCUGCUGGCUAUCCUCGCAGACUACCCUCUUCCCCAAAUCUCUUUGGACUUCUCUAUAACCCAUCAACUAAAAGAUUCACAUCUGGAUCACCGGAAGCCUCUAAAGACCCAACUCAAAUACAAGAGGCAGGAUCUACAGACAUACCUUGGAAAUAUUGCAGGUGUUAUUCCAGGCCACUGCAAUGAAGUGGGUAGCCCGAUAAAGUGAGUCAAAUGAA